rnacentral:rRNA from 1 species
GGAUAACCUGCCCUUAGGUCUGGCAUAACCCCGGGAAACUGGGGAUAAUUCCGGAUAGAUCAUCGAUGCUGGAAUACGCUUUGAUCCAAAGCUAUUGUGCCUAAGGAUGGGUCUGCGGUCUAUCAGGUUGUAGUGGGUGUAAUGUACCUACUAGCCUACGACGGAUACGGGUUGUGGGAGCAAGAGCCCGGAGAUGGAUUCUGAGACAUGAAUCCAGGCCCUACGGGGCGCAGCAGGCGCGAAAACUUUACAAUGCGGGGAACCGCGAUAAGGGGACACCGAGUGCCAGCAUCCUAUGUUGGCUGUCCAUAUGUCUAAAUCACAUGUGUUAGCAAGGGCCGGGCAAGACCGGUGCCAGCCGCCGCGGUAACACCGGCGGCCCGAGUGGUGGCCACUAUUAUUGGGUCUAAAGGGUCCGUAGCCGGUUUGGUCAGUCUUCCGGGAAAUCUGACGGCUCAACCGUUAGGCUUUCGGGGGAUACUACCAGGCUUGGGACCGGGAGAGGUAAGAGGUACUACGGGGGUAGGAGUGAAAUCUUGUAAUCCCUGUGGGACCACCAGUGGCGAAGGCGUCUUACCAGAACGGGUCCGACGGUGAGGGACGAAAGCUGGGGGCACGAACCGGAUUAGAUACCCGGGUAGUCCCAGCUGUAAACUAUGCUCGCUAGGUGUCAGGGACGGUGCGACCGUUUCUGGUGCCGCAGGGAAGCCGUGAAGCGAGCCACCUGGGAAGUACGGUCGCAAGGCUGAAACUUAA